rnacentral:rRNA from 1 species
UACGAAGGGGGCUAGCGUUGUUCGGAAUUACUGGGCGUAAAGCGCACGUAGGCGGGCGAUUAAGUCAGGGGUGAAAUCCCGGAGCUCAACUCCGGAACUGCCUUUGAUACUGGUCGUCUAGAGAUCGGAAGAGGUGAGUGGAAUUCCCAGUGUAGAGGUGAAAUUCGUAGAUAUUGGGAAGAACACCAGUGGCGAAGGCGGCGACCUGGUCCGAUACUGACGCUGAGGCGCGAAAGCGUGGGGAGCAAACAGG